rnacentral:tRNA from 1 species
AUGGCCGUAGUCCAGCUGGAAGGAUGCCUGGCACGCCCAGGUGGUCCGGGGUUCAAAUCCCCGCGGCCCCACCA